CAGGGCCACACUCUCAGCCUUUGGAGGUUCCCAGGCUAGGGGUCGAUUCGGAAUUGUAGCUGCUAGCCUACACCACGGCCACAGCAACAUUAGAUCCAAGCCAUGUCUAUGACCUACACCACGGGUCAUGGCAAUGCCAGAUCCUUAACCCACUGAGCAAGGCCAGGGAUUGAACCUGCAUCUUCAUGGAUGCUAGUCAGAUGCAUUUCCACUGAGCCACCAUGGGAACUCCCAUUCAAGUUUCUUGAGAGUGUUUCCAUGUUCUGCAUGUCGAAUGUGACUGUGCAGGUAUUUGGGAUCGUAGUGGGGAACAGCCCCCCCAGCAGAGUCUAUUCAUUCACUAUGUAGUUUACUUCAUUCUCCAGUUUUUACCCCAUAUGUCCGCUCUGUUUUCUUCUGUCUCUGUGUUCUAUAUGGAUUAUCUCCAUCGAAGAACCUCCAAGAAUCUUCGAGAUGAUUCAGCACCUGCCCUUACCCAGCAUUUCCUAACUGAUGUUGUAAAAGGCUGGUACCAGAGACUGGCUGUGAGUGAGUCUUUCUCCUCCCCAUCCAAAGUCCACCGCCCUCUGACAUCGCCAAACCUACUGUGGUCUCUGAUGCUGUUUUUGUUGCUCUAGAGAUGCCUGAGUUUUUGCACAAGCCAAGGUCAAGUAGCCCUGCAUGUCUAAAAGGGUAGAUGUUAACUCUUAAAAGCCAGAAAUUUGGGCACAAAUUUUAGAGCAGUUUUCAAGCACGGGUUAAAAAUAUAUUGGAAGCUGAACAUGUCUGGGGUGAGAAGUUGGGGAAGAUUCAUGUGGCAAAGAGGAGAGUUGCAUCAGGACUGCGUGGUGUUUCACACUUGUAAAGUUUUCUCCCUCUGCCUUUCCUGGAGACCUGAUUGUAGCAGCAGUGAAGGCAGAAUGAAGAGGUGGUAGCAGAGAGAGGCAGAGCACUUGGUAUAAGGGAGGCCUAUUUUUAGGUAUAAAACCUUGUCUUUCCAAUAAUAGAUUGAGGAAGCUCUGGCUUGGCAAUAUGUCUCAGCGUUUCUGUUGACACUUUGGAAUAUGGCUGUCAUGAAGUGAGUGUAAAGUUAGGACCUGCUUUGGAGUUCCCGUCAUGGCUCAGUGGUUAAGGAACCCAACUAGGAUCCAUGAGGAUGUGGGUUCAAUCCCUGGCCUCACUCAGUGGAUUAAGGAUCUAAUGUUGCGGUGAGCUGUGGUAUAGUUUGCAGACGAGGCUCGGAUCUGGCGUUGCUGUGGCUGUGGCAUUCUCUGGCAGCUCCAGCUCCGAUUUGACCCCUAGCCUGGGAAGCUCCAUAUGCUGCAGGUACAACCCCCAAAAGACAAAAAAAAAAAAAAAAAAAAAGUUAGGACCUGCCUCAAGUCAUAAGGAAGCAAGCCUGGAGUUAUUCGACUUGUAUGCAUGGUAGUCCAUUCUGUUCUGGGUACCACAUUUUGUAAUACAUGCUGUAAACCUUAGGCAUUGAAAAACUUUCAUCAAAAUGAAAUGAAUUACACUUCCACCAGCAAUAUAUGCAUUCCUGUUUGCCAAGACUCUCACCCAGUUCUUGCUGUGAUCUGAUUUUAAUUUCUGCUACUCCAAUGGGUAUAAAAAUGACAUCUUGUGGUUGUUACUGUUUGAAGUAAAAGCAUAUUUGAAACAUACUAUUUCUAUUCUUUUCAUGAACAUUUAACCUAAACAUUUAAAAUUAAUCAGUAGAGUUCCUGUUGUGGCUCAGGGGGUUAAGAACCUGACUAGUGUCCAUGAGGAUGCGGGUUCAAUCCCUGGCCUCACUCAGUAGGUUAAGGAUCCUACGUUGCCCUGAAUGGUGGUGUAGGUUGCCGACAUGGCUCAGAUCUGGCAUUGCUGUGGCUGCGGCAUAGGCCUGCAGCUGCAGUUCCAAUUUCACCCCUAGCCUGGGAACUUCAAUAUGCCACAUGUGUGGUCCUAAAAAAAAAAAAAAAAAAAAAAAAAAAAAAAGGAAAAGGAAAAUUAAUCAGUAUUUUUACUCUCCUCCUGACCAAAGAACCUCUGUCUGACUUAAUUCUGAGCAGCUCUCCCAUUUUCAUGACACUUUUUGUGCUUUUUUUUUGUUGUAGAGUUGAUCCUCAUUAUUUGCAGAUAGCUCAUUUGUGAAUUUAUCUACACAUUAAAAUUUUCUUGUAACCUUAAAUUAAUACUCACAGCACUUUCAUAAUAAUUCUUGAACUUGUAUGAAAUAGCAAAAAAUUGAGGUUAGGAACCCCUGAUCUGGACACGAGUCCACUCAGAAAAGUGCUAAAGUAACAUCUGUACUGAAGGGUGGAGCUAUGGAAAAGGUGGCAGAGCAGCUAAGUUUCUGGAUUCAUCAGCUGGGGCUUGAUAAAAAGGCAUAGUGGACAUCAUUGUUAUGAAGCUGGAAACCACAAAGGUUUAUGAUUGCACCACCCAGGGUCAGGAUAUUGUGAAACCCCUCUCAGCUAGUGCUGGCAGACUUACAUCUGGCAAAAAGCUCUAAGAUGGAAAGAUGUUCAAGUUACAGUUGAGGCAGGUAUUGCAGACCCAGCUGCCAUGAAGGAAUUUUAAAAAUAGGUGCUAAGUGUUACAUAGGAAAAGAGCUAGGUGAGGGUCUUCUUUUAAGACUUAAUUGAGCUGUAAUUGUUUUUUACUUUUCAUAAAUCUUUUUUUUUCCAUUUUUAAAGCUUUAUUGAAUAUAGUCAAUUUACACUGUUGUAGCAAUUACUGCUGUACAACAGAGUGAUUCAGUUAUACGUGUAAAUAGAUCCAUUUUUUUUUUCAGAUUCUUUUCCGGCAUAGACCAUCACAGAAUAUUGGGUAGAGUUCGCUGUGUUGUACAACAGGUCUGUGUUUUUCAUAAAUCUAUCUUUUAAGAUAGCUUUGCUGGGUUUACAAUUUUUAUUUUAUUUUGAGAUAUAGUUGUCAUAUAAUAUGUAUAUUUACAGUUUACAAUGUAUUAUUUUGAUAUGUUUAUAUAUUGUAAUAUGAUUACUGUAUUAGAUGACACUUCCUCAUGCCAUGUAAUGACCAUUUUGGACAAUUUUUUUAGUUUUUUUGAAGUAUAGCUGAUUUAUAAUGUGAUAAUUUCUGCUGUACAACAAAGUGAAAUAUCCAUUCUUGGAGUUCCCAUCGUGGCUCAGCAGAAACAAAUCUGACUAGUAACCGUGAGGUUUGAUCCCUGGCCUCACUCCGUGGGUUGAGGAUCCAGCACUGUCAUGAGCUGUGGACACGGCUCAGAGCCUGCGUCGCUGUGGCUGUGGUGUAGGCUGGCAGCUACAGCUCUGAUUCGACCCUUAGCCUGGGAACUUCCAUAUGCCACGGGUGCAGCCCUAAAAAGACAAAAACAAAAAACAAAAAAACCUUUCUUUUUUGUAUUCUUUCCCCAUAUAGGUUAUCAUAGGUUAUGAGUAGAGAUCCCUGUGCUCUACCUCAGGUCCCCAUUGACCAUCCAUUCCAUAUACAUCAGUGUGCAUAUGCUGACCCCAAAACCCAGGUCCAUCUCUCCCACACCCCACCUUUUCCCUUCGGUAACCAUAAUUUUGUUUUCAAAGUCUGUGAGUUUGUUUCUGUUUUGUAAAUAAGUUAAUUUGUAUGAUUUUUUAAGAUUCCAUAUAUAAGAAUGUAAUGAGAUCAUAUGACAUUUCUCCAUCUGACUUGACUUCACUUAGGAUGAUAAUCUCUAGGUUCAUCCAUAUUGCUGCAAAUGGCAUUAUUUCAUUCUUUUUUAUGGCAAGUAAUAUUCUGUUGUAUAUAUGUACUACAUCUUUAUUAUUCCUCUGUUGAUGAACAUUUAUGUUGAUUCCAUGUAUUGGCUAUUGUAAAUAAUGCUGCAUUGAAUAUUGGGAUGCAUGUAUCUUUGGGAAUUAUAAUUUUCUCUGAAUAGAUGCCCAGGAGUGGGAUUGCUGGGUCAUAUUCUAGUUCUAUUUUUAGUUUUUGAGGGACUUCUAUACUGUUUUCCAUAGUGAUUAUACCAAUUUGCAUUCCCGCAGUGUAGGAGGGUUUGCUUUUCUUUGUGCCUGCUCUAGCACUUAUUGUUUGUGAACUUUUUGACCAUCAACUUUUUGACCUUUCUGACAGGAAGUGGUACCUUGUUGUAGUAUAAUUAGUAAUGUUGAACAUCUUUCCGUGUGCUUUUUGGCCAUCUGUCUGUCUUUUUGGAGAAAUAUUUAUUUAGAUCAUCUGCCCAUUUUUUGAUUGGUUUGUUUGUUUUCAUUUUAUUGCUAUACCAGCAGCAUAUGGAAGUUCCCAGGCUAGGGGUUGAAUCAGAGCUGCAGCUGAGGCCUAUGCCAUAGUCAUGGCAACACCUGAUUCUGAGCCACCUCUGCAAACUACACUGCAGCUUCCAGAAACACUGGAUCCUUAACCCAGUAAGCAAGGCCAAGGGUCGAAUCCUCAUGGAGAUAACAUUGGGUUCUUAACCCAUGGAGCCACAAUGGGAACUCCUGUUUGUUUGUUUUUUUAAUAUUGAGCUGCAUGAGCUGUUUUUUUAUAUUUUGCAGAUUAAUCCCUUGUCAGUCUCCUCAUUUGUAAAUAUUUUCUCCCCCUCUGUGUUGUCUUUUCAUUUUGCUUGUGGUUUCCUUUGCUGUUCAAAAGCUUUUAAGUUUAAUUAGGUCCAAUUUGUUUAUUUUUGUUUUUAUUUCCUUUACUUUGGGAGGUGGAUCCCAAAAGAUAUUUCUCUGAUGUCAGAGAGUGUUUUGCCUAUGUUUUACUCUAAGAUUUUUAUAGUUUACAGUCUUUCAUUUGGGUCUUUAACCCAUUUUGAAUUUAUUUUUGUGUAUGGUGUUAGGGAAUUUCUAAUUUCAUUUUUUUACAUGUAGCUGUCUAAUUUUCCCGGUACCACUUGUUGAAGAGACUAUCUUUUCUCCACUGUAUAUUCUUGUCUCCUUUGUCAUACAUUAAUUGACCAUACAUGCAUGGGUUUAUUUCUGGGCUUAUUAUCUUUUUCCAUCAAUCUAUAUUUCUGCUUUUGGUCUAGUACCAUACUGUUUAGAUGACUAUAGCUUUGUAAUAUAGUCUGAGGUCAGGGAUCCUGAUUCCUCCAAUUACAUUUUUCUCGAGCUUGCUUUGGCUACUUGGAGUCUUUUGUUUUCAAUUACAAAUUUAAAUUUUAUUUCUUCUGGUUCUGUGAAAAAUGCCAUUGGUAAUUUGAUAGGGAUUGUAUUGAAUCUGUAGAUUAUUUUGGACAGUACAGUCAUUUUGACAAUAUUAACUCUUCCAGUCCAAGAGCAUGGUAUAUCUUUCUAUCUGUGUCUUUGACAAUUUUAGAUUUUUCAGUUCUUGGUUAUCUGAAGGUAAUCUGGCCUUUUCUUCUGGCUAUAUUAUGAUAUUUACCUAAAAAUGAACUCAAUGGCAUAUUUUAUUAAUCUUACUUGAGAUUCAUUGUGUUUCCUUAAUCUCAGGACUGAUAGGUUUUAUCAAUUUUGGAACUUCUCUGACACUCACUGUCUUUUCAAACACUGCUCUUUCCCUUUUCUAUUAACUCCUUCUGGAAUUCUGAUUAUUUUUAUUCUAGACUUUAUUCUAUCUGCAAGAUCUUAACCCUCAUAUUUGUCUUCCUGUGGGCUACUACUUCAUAUUAAUUUUCCAAGUUAAUGGAUCUCCUUAUAAUUGUGUCUAAUCUGCUGUUUCACAAGUUGUGUCCUCUGAAAACAGAUGCUUGGACUGAGUUGGGGUAUGAGCUGAUUAUUAGGGAUCAAAACAUGUGAAAGGAAAGAAGAAAGACUGAGCGGAGGAGAAAAAUAAACUUCAGUGGGGUCCAAAAAAAUCCUUUGCUAAUCCAGCAGAGAGUUUGGAAGUGAUUAUUUCCCAUCAGAGUUCUUCUGCAUUGGAUUGGAACCAUCAGGAUCUUUGUACCCUUCAUUUCUCAGUCACUGGAUAUAGGCUACUCCAGUGACCUUGGGAAAGGCAGCUUUUGGCAUCUGAGGCAAACCCUGAAGAAGGUGACGUCUGGAAGCUGUCUGGUGACCAUACUUUUUAUAGUUGAAUAAUUCCUUUCUUGAACAGGAAUCUUGAUGACCUUUGACUCUAUCAUAUGUUUCUUAAUCUGUCUACAACUUUUCUUUUUUUUUUAAAUUUCUACACUCAUCUUAGUUAUUUUAUUUUUUAUUUUUUUAAAUGUAUUGAAGUUGAAUUGAUUUACAGUGUGUUAAUUUCUGCUGUUCAGCAAAGUGAUUCAGUUGUGUGUGUGUGUAUACAUUCUUUUCCAUAAUGGUUUAUCACAGGAUAUU
rnacentral:lncRNA from 1 species